GGCUUGAUGGUGUAGCGGUCAACACACCUGCGACUCGUUCAUUGCUUGCUGCCGUAGCGCGGGGGACGCCUGUUCGAUUCAGGCUUAAGCCA